AAACACACAUGAAAAGUUGCUCAACAUCAUUAGCCAUUAGGGAAAUGUAAAUUAAAAUCACAAUGAGAUAGCAUCAUACACUCAUUAGAAUGGCUAAACUUUAAGAGAUUGGUAAUAACAAGUGUUGAUGACGAAGUGAAACAACUGGAACUCUCAUAUAUUGCUGGCAGGAGUGUGAACUGGAACAAUCACUUGGAAAAAAGUUUGAUGGUGUCUUAUAAAGUUAAACAUACACUUACCAAUGCCCAGCAAUCUGCAUUGUAGGUAUGGUUUGGAUGUGAUUUGUCUGUGUCAAAACUCAUGCUGAAGUUUGCUUGCCAGUUCUGUCCACUGGGGAGGUAGGGCCUAGUGGGAGGUACUUGGAUCAUAGGGGUGAAUCCUUUAUGAAUAGGUUGGUACUGUUGUCCUAGUAGAGUGUUGUUUUUGUUGUUGUUGUUCUCAAGAGACUGGAUCAAUUCUCAAGAAAUGUAUCAAGGAAUGUAUUAGUUCCUAAGCAAGGGGUUUUAAUAAAGCAAGGUUUCUCCUCCUGUUUGAUCUCUCUUUGCAUAUGUCUGCUUCCCCUUUAACCUUUUCUGCCAUGUUUUGACCCAGCACAAAAAUCCUCGCCAGAAGCCAAGCAAAUGCUGCUGCCACCUGAACUUCCCUGUCUGCAGAACUGUAAGCUGCACCUCUUUAUAAAUUAUCCAUCUCACGUAUUCUGUUACAACACCAAAUGGACUAAGACAAGUAUUUAUCCAAAGGAAAUAAAAAUGUAUGUCUGCACAAAGAUUAGUACAUGAAAAUGUCAGAGCAGCUUUAUUCAUAAUAGCCAAAAACUGGAAAUAGCCCAAGUAUCCAUCAACAGGUGAACAGGUAAAUUGUGGUAUAUUCAUACAAUGGCUUACUACUCAGUAAUAAAAAGGAACAAAGUAGUGAUAAGUGCUACAACGUGAAUAAAACUUGAAAACUUUAUACUGAGUGAAAGAUGCCAGAUGGAAGCAUACAUAGCAUAUUAUUACAUUUAAAUGAAGUUCUAGAACAAACAAAACUAUUUUGAUUGGCUGGCCUUGAAAAGGUGACAUUUGAGCAAGAUCUGGAUGUCAAGAGGGAGCCAGCUAUGGCAAGAUUGACGGGGAGCAAUACAGGCAAACAGCACUACAGGAACAAAGGACCAGGAUCAGGAAAGAGCUUGGUGAGCUUGGGAACAGUCAGCAGGCCACAGUGACUGGGUGAAGUGGGUGGGGAGAGAAUGGUGGGAGACAGGGUGGAGAGGUGGAUGGGAGCCAGAUCAUGCCGAGCCUUAUCAGCCCUGAUAAAGUUUUGGAAUUUGAUAUGAAUAAAAUGCAAAUCCCUCAUAGUUUCCUGGGGCAGAAACACAUAAGCAAAUAAAGGCAAUUCAGGGUCAUGGGUGAUACAUUUGGGGAGUGUACAGGGAAAGAGAAGUAGUAGGCGGUUUUACCUAGGGACAUCUGAGAAGGCUUCCCAGAGGAGGUGACAUUUCGGCUGAAACUGGAAGAGUAGUAGAAGAGGAGAAAGGUCAUCCUGGUGGAGGGCACUGUGCCUACAGAAGCCCAGAGACAUGUAGCCUCAGGGAACAGAGACCUCAGCAUAAUAUAAGCCUAGUUGGAGUUUUCUCAACUAGGAGAGCGAGUGGCAGAUCUGAGGCUGAAGAGAGAGGCUUUGAAUGCUUUGUCAGACUUGAUCCUGUAGGGAAUGGGAAACCCCUGCAGAAUUUAUAGUCAGGAAGUAUCAGGGCCAGGUUGACACUUCAGAUCAAGACCUCCAGAUUGGCAGGCAGAGAGCAAGGCCACUGGUUCUAGUGUGAGACAAUGGGGGACUGGGCCUGGGACUGAGCAGGGGCAGACGGGGCAGGAGUAGAGCCAAACUCUGCCAAGCGGUGACUGGGACUCUCCUGGUUGAGGCAAAGUUCUCUGAGCUUGAGGCCCCAGAGGGCCAUAAAUACUAACUUUCAUGUGCAUCUGCUCCCUUGGAGGGCUUGUCACACCUGAAGGCUCCUAGGCCCUGGCUCCCAAGGAUUCAAAAGCAGUGGGUCUAGGAUGAAGCCCAGGAAUCUGCAUAAUAAAAAGUGACACUCUCCACUCUGAUGCAGGUGGACUCCAUACCUACCAGGCUGCCAGUGUGGCUGGGGAGAGGAGGGGGCAGGACAAGCACACACUCAUCUGAACUGAAGCAGCUCAGAGAAUCAAAGGUAGCAUCUAAAAUUAGGACCUGGGUGCAAUGGGAGCAAAGGUAGUGUUUGUCUCCAUUGCUGCAGCUAAAGAAUUGCGAUAGAGUGGCCCUGGUCAUCAUGCAGAAAAAUGACUCCUGAUCACCAGUCCAAGGAGCCACAGAAAUAAGAGAUGGGGCCACGACCGGAACAUAGAUUGCCACAGAAGAACAUAACUGUACCUUCUCCUAGGGUGCAGACAGGGAGGCAGGAAGGGGAUUACUGGGGGCUGCAGUAAACUAGAGAACAAGCUCUGUGCAAAGGAAGCGUCUCUUACCAUUCAGCAUCUCACCUAAUUAACCCUCACAACAGCUCUAUGUGGUGGGUCCUAUUAUUAUUCCCAUUUUAUAGAUGGGGAAACUGAGACUCAAAAAGGUUGAGUAUGUAGUGCUAGGUCCCAAGGUGAGGACAUAGGGGAACCAUGGCUGGAACAUAGGCCUCCGGACACUCCGAAUCAUAGCAUUGCCCUGUGUCCCCUUCGGUGGGAAAAGUCACUUCAUCUCUUAAUCUUAAAUGAUCUUCCAAGCAACAGGAGGGGAGAGGGGGAGUAUAAGCUUUCUUUGUCCUAUCUUUUUCAGAAGGUAUCUUACUCCUUCCUGUGUGUGUCUUCCAAAGAUACAGUAUCAGGACCUAGAGAGGCUGAGAUUUAGAGCCUCAUGGUGCAAACUGAAUUGUAGGGUCCUAGCCAGGAGUACUUGCUUGGAUCUCUAAGAAUCUCACAACAGUGCCACAUGCCUCAGCUUUAUCCAAGCAACAGAAGGAGGUGGUGGAGGUGGUGGCAGCAGCAGCAGCAGCAGCAGUGGCAGCAAAUCUGUCCCCAGUGCACUACAGUACUGUUUUGCUAUGAUGAAAUACACAUGGCAUAUGGCUACAAAGUUACUAUCUUGAGAGUGGAUAGAAAUGGGAUUUUUCAUGUGCCAGAUUUCACUUCCCUUUCUGAAACAAUUCUUGUAGUAAACAGAGGUUUUCUGAUCUUGCUAAGACCAAGAGGGUGGGAAUUCCUUUACACUUUUAAAGUAAGACUAUUGUCUUGUAGAGUUUCAGUCUGUUGAUGGUGCAAAUGUUUUUUAAACAUGGAUGCUAUUCUGUGUUCCUCCCUCUUUCCUUCUAAAGGCCACGACAGGAAGAGAAGCUGCCAACACCAGAUGACCAACUCCUUUCCAGUUACAGACCACCCCGGUGAUGAGACCUCCAUAUGUUGUCUGGUGGCCACAGUUCCUCGGCAAAUGAGUGGGGAAAAGGAAAGUUUUGGUGAGCGUGGGAGGCCACAGGGUGGAGGCGGCCAGGAAGGACCAGAAAGCACACAGGAUGUGACUUUAAGGAGGAGAAUUAUUUUGAACCAUGUCUUGUGUGCUGACAGCAUAAUGAUCAUUAUUAGGGCCUCAGAUGUAACAUGAAGCCUGCCCUGAAGUUAAAUUUUCCUUUUCAGAGAAGCAUGGCCUGUCAGUCCAGCAUCAGAUGGUUCCAUGCCGACCUCCUCCAUGGCUGAGGGUUGGAGUGCCCCAGCUGCUGCCUCCCUGGUAGCUUUCAUUAAAGGACUUUGCUUUUUUGGAAGAAGAGAAUAAUGAGAUGAUGGAUGCAGAGCACUGGCAGAAUGCCUAGCAUAGAAGAAUCUGAGGAUUCGCCAUGCAUGCUUCCUGGAAUGGAAACCCACACUGCUGUUGUGAAGAAACCUGAUGAAACUCCAGCAACUUCUACAUCUGGCCUGCUGCUUAGUCCUGGGACCUGAGGUCAAAAUCAUAGAAAAGAGCCAUGGGAGAUGCAUUCCUUGGCCUCAUCUCUGUUCUUGAAUGCUGUCAGCAACACUCUUCGAGUUUUUACCCACAUGUUAACACUUUCCUCAGCGUGGAUAUGGAGGCGGGGGUGAGGAAUGUUCUAUUUUUCCUUCGAUGGUUAUGCCCUCACCCUACCAACUCAGUAAAAGGGGAGUAGUGGUCAGGGACCUUACUGAGAAUGUGUCCUAGCAUCUUUUCUCCCCCAGCACAGCCUCCAUAUGACCCAGCUGCCAUGAGAAGCUCGCCUCCCUUCUAAGGGAAUUACCCCAACCUUCCACUUCAUCCUCACCUUGCCCUGCCCAGAUUAGAGGCACAGAGGCAUGUACCACAGGCCUGAAAAACCAUCCAGCCAAAAAGCCUGACUGUCUUGAUGAGUCCUAUCAGGGUGUAGUUAUGGACAUGCCUAUUUCUGCUCUUCCCUCUGCAUUAGUUCUCUGCAAAGGGUGGCUCUUGCCCUCGGAUGGUCCAAAGAUAGUUUGGGGUACGCAUGGAUGACCUUCACUCUUUAGAGGUGAACAGACAAUACUGCUCUUCUCCAACAGCCUCUGAAGGACACCAACUACUGCCUGUUUCUGAGAUGUUUGCUGCCCCAGAGUCUCCCACCUGCUUCUUCCUCCCUCUCAGUCCUCCCUUUUGUAGACUCUCAGCCUCCCUUCUCUUAAUGCUCUUUGCACCCUUUCCUGGGUCUCUAUUUACCCUGCCUUCCCUUUCAGCAACCCCUUCCCAAACCACUGCCGACUUCUCCUUUCUUUCCAAUCCCUCCUCCCUUCCCAGCACUUUCACCUUCCAUUGAAUCCCUCAAGCCUCACUCUGGCCCAACUCCUCCCCUCACCCUCUAUCCCUGCCCUUCUCAGAUCUGCCAAACACCUCAGGCCUGGCUGCCUCUGUCCUGUUCCCACCAAACCUCCUGACCAUGCUUCUGUGCUCCUUGGGACCUGGGCUCACAUUUUCAGUCUCUUCUCUUCUAUUAGUACAGUUCUGUCUAGAGCCAUGAUUCUUCUCUACCUUUCACAGCUGUCUUCUUUCCCACUUAUAUACAUUUAUUUUUUUAAGUAUGGAAAUAAAAAAGUGCCACUUAAAUACAAUGAUUAAGUCAUAAUAAACAGUACAAGUUGUACUUGAAUGUGAGACAUACCACCCAUACACGUUUGAUCUUCAAGGACCACAUCGCAAUCAAUCUGCCCACGGCCCAUUGCCUGACACUAAAAGAUACUUACAAGAAGUUGAUUAUAAACUAAUUUCUUGGUCUAAGAUCCUACACUCUGAAAGGGAAGGUUUCAAUAUAUAUGAAACCUUCUUGGCAGUGCAGGGAUGAGGAGAGUAAAACUGAGAUGAAAGUCAGCAAGUAGUGAAGGUGUGAAAUAGGCAGUGACUCUCACACUGAGACCUCCUGGGGAUGUUAAAUUUUCAUUUCGAAGCUGAUGGUCUAUCUGGGAAGCCUAGAGAGUAACAAAGGUUGUAGGCAUAUCAUUAUAUUAGAGUGGUGCAAAAGUAAUUGCUGUUUUUGCCAUUAAAAAAAAAAAGCAAAAACCACAAUUACUUUUGCACCAACCUAAUAGCAAGCAAGGGGAGGAAUCUGGAGAGAAAAUCAAUUUCUAAAAUAAGAAAUAAAAAUUUGUUUGCAAGUAGGACUUGCAAGCUCGUUCUAGGCCUUGCUCUGGGAGCUUUUCGGUAACUUCUCUUCCUGUUGGAAUAGAAGAAGGAAACCUUCAGGACAGAAGGUUCUGUCCCCCUUCCCCCUCCUAUUGUGAAUGAAGUCUCAUUACACUCUAAAGUACUGGCAGGACUACUUGUUGCAAGGAUUAUGGGGAAAAGUAGCCAGAGAGCAAUCCAGUUAUCAGCCUCAGCCCCAUUCCUCUGAGGUACAGCUCGGGAAGUAAGCCUCCAAACCAAGAUGGGUCUGGACCAACAAGACACGAGGAGGCAGCAGCCCACAGCCAACCCCUCAUGCCACGCACUGAGCAGGGUCCCACAUGGACGCUGGUCUUGCCUCCCAGACGCCUGAACUAGCGGAGUUGGGGUAUCGGGUGGAGUCUCGGAGACUCUAUCCAACCUGAGGGGGACGCCUGGGGCAGUUCCAAGUAUCCAUCUCAGCUGGGAGGCCCACUUGGGAAGCCACGGAGCAACCUCACGUCCCGGUGGCGCCGACUGCAGCACAGCGCUUCCGGCGGCACUUGGAGGCUGAGCAGUUGGAGGCGGGGCUCGUGCUGUGACGCCUGCCUCGCCUCGCCCCUCCCCGCGCGCGUUGCCAGGGUGAUCAGGUGACUCCCGGUUCGCGGCACUGGGGGCGGCCGUGACGUCAGGCGCCGGGCUGCUCCUCACUCGCUCCGAGACAGGUGCGGCGAGUCUACUGCGGGCUGGUCCGGGCUCUUCAGGUCCAGACCCGACCGUUAUCCAGUCGGUUCGUGGAGAGGAGAGGUGCACUUUACAGGUCCCCGAUGAACCAAGGGAACCCUCCACCAUAUCCGGGCCCUGGUCCAACGGCCCCAUACCCACCUUAUCCACCACAACCAAUGGGUCCAGGACCUAUGGGGGGACCCUACCCACCUCCUCAAGGGUACCCCUACCAAGGAUACCCACAGUACGGCUGGCAGGGUGGACCUCAGGAGCCUCCUAAAACCACAGUGUAUGUGGUAGAAGACCAAAGAAGAGAUGAGCUGGGACCAUCCACCUGCCUCACAGCCUGCUGGACUGCUCUGUGUUGCUGCUGUCUCUGGGACAUGCUCACCUGACCAGCCCAGCCGUCCUGUCAUGCCAGCUCUGCCGCCACCUCUGAUAGGUGUGCCUGCCCCCGUCUCUUCUGAUUGCCGUAACAAGUGACUAGCUUUGCACAGACACCUCUACCUUCAGCACUAUGGGAUUCUAGAUUAGUGGGGGUUGCUACUGUUUAAUUCAGUGACUUGAUCUUUUUAAUGUCCAAAAUCCAUUUCUUAUUGAUCUUUAAAGAUGUGCUAAAUGAUUUUUUUGGCCAAAGGCUUAGUUGUGAAAAAUAUUUAUAAUUUUUAAAUUAUACAUUCAAGGUAGUGGCCAAAUGUAACACACCAUGGAAUGAUUUCUCUGCUAACAGCCUGUAUGUUUCAAUAAAUUUGUCCAAAGCUCAA